CCUACGGGUGACAGCAGUGAGGAAUAUUGGUCAAUGGACGAGAGUCUGAACCAGCCAAGUAGCGUGAAGGAUGACUGCCCUAUGGGUUGUAAACUUCUUUUAUAUGGGAAUAAAAUGUUCCACGUGUGGGAUUUUGUAUGUACCAUAUGAAUAAGGAUCGGCUAACUCCGUGCCAGCAGCCGCGGUAAUACGGAGGAUCCGAGCGUUAUCCGGAUUUAUUGGGUUUAAAGGGAGCGUAGGUGGAUUGUUAAGUCAGUUGUGAAAGUUUGCGGCUCAACCGUAAAAUUGCAGUUGAAACUGGCAGUCUUGAGUACAGUAGAGGUGGGCGGAAUUCGUGGUGUAGCGGUGAAAUGCUUAGAUAUCACGAAGAACUCCGAUUGCGAAGGCAGCUCACUGGACUGCAACUGACGCUCAGGCACGAAAGCGUGGGUAUCGAACAGGAUUAGAUACCCCAGUAGUC
rnacentral:rRNA from 1 species